CUCAAGUCCAAAUGAGUACAAGCUGCAGGAGAGCAUUUACGAGGUGUUAUGGAUUAAAUGGUGUUUCCCUACAAUGUUUAUGUGUUGAAGGCAUAAGCCCUAGUUCCUCAGAAUGUGAUCUAUUUGGAGAUAGGGCCUUUAAAGAGAUGAGUAAUUUAAAAUGCAGUCACUAGGGUGGGCUCUAAUCCAACCUGACUGGUGUCCUUAUAAGAAGAGGAGGAAACAGCAAGGAUGAGCGUGCACAGAGGAAAGGCCACGUAAGGACAUAGCAAGAAGGCUGCCAUCUGCAAGCCAAGGAGAGAGGCCUCCAGAGAAGCUGAACCUGCUGACACCUUGAUCUUGGACUUCCAGCCUCCAGAACUGAAGAAUCUUCAGUCUAAAGAAUGAAAAGAAAAGACCCAUAAGAACAGGUCUUCCAAGGAAACGAGGCAGCUCUGGGAACACCUUUUCUCUCAGGAUCCUAAGGCAAGACCUAUUCAGCCCUCAGCAAGCCUGUCUACCUCUAGCUCUCCGUCUGCAAAAAUGCCCCCUGCCCCUGAGCUAUGAGAGAAAGGACUCCUUCAAGAUGUUGUUGAGAGGAGAGGGCAGGGAUAUGGAACUGGGAUGGAUUCCACAUGCAGAUGUGCUGGGAAAGACAGCAGAUCCAGUUGCUUCAGGAAGAAAAUCAAGACUUUGUCCAGGUGCCCCUUGGCCAAGACAGAAACUCCCCUCAAUCAGGGGACCCACUUACCUCCAAGGAAUGGUGAGGCCAUUCCUGUCCCCUGAGUCAAACCUGUAUUGCCUCUCCACUGGACAAUCCAAAAACAAGAAACAAACAGACAAAUUCAUCCCUGUGCGCUCUCUGAAAGAAGAAAUAUGAGCCCAGAGGAGGGUAAAAAUAAAUACCCACUUGAGGAAAAUAUUCCCCCAAUUCGAGCAUUCAGAAGCAUGCCCCAAACACUGGGACGCCUAAGGUAAACUUACUUAAAACAGAAUGUUAGUGACUUUUUAAAAUAAAAUGUGCAAUACGCUUUUCUUCAAACUUCAAGUAUCUUUCUAGCUAAAUGAGGUAACUCUAUGUUUAAAGUCAGGAGGGGCAUCUGUUAAGACACUACUGAGUGUUACCGAAGGAAAAGUUCUGUAUUUUA
rnacentral:lncRNA from 10 species